rnacentral:rRNA from 1 species
GACGAACGCUGGCGGCGUGCCUAAUACAUGCAAGUCGAGCGCAGAGGCGUGGUGCUUGUACCAACGGGGUGAGCAGCGGACGGGUGAGUAACGCGUGGGGAAUCUGCCUUUGAGCGGGGGACAACAUCGGGAAACGAAUGCUAAUACCGCAUAAAAUCUUUAACCACAAGUUUUAAGUGUGAAAGAUGCAAUUGCAGCACUUAAAGAUGAUCUCCCGUCGUAUUAGCUAGUUGGUGAGGUAAAGGCUCAACAAGGGGAAGAUACAUAGCCGACCUGGAAGGGGGGUUCGCCCACAUGGGAACGAGAACAGGCCCAAGACCCCUAGGGGAGGCGCCAGAGGGAAACUUUGGGCAAUGGCGGAAAGCCGAACGAGGCACGCCGGGGGGGGUGAGAAGGGUCUCGGGUCCGAAAAACCCGUUUGUAGGGGAAAAAGUAAGUGGGAGUGAAAAGCUCAUGUAGUGACGGUAACUAAUCAGAAAGCGACGGCUAACUACGUG